rnacentral:rRNA from 1 species
UACGGAGGGUGCAAGCGUUAUCCGGAUUCACUGGGUUUAAAGGGUGCGUAGGCGGGCAGGGAAGUCCGUGGUGAAAUCUCCGAGCUUAACUCGGAAACUGCCGUGGAUACUCUCUGUCUUGAAUCCCGUGGAGAUGAGCGGAAUAUGUCAUGUAGCGGUGAAAUGCUUAGAUAUGACAUAGAACACCAAUUGCGAAGGCAGCUCGUUAGACGAAGAUUGACUCUGAGGCACGAAAGCGUGGGGAUCAAACAGG